rnacentral:rRNA from 1 species
UUGGUGAAUAAUAAUAAAUUAAAGAAUAGAAUGGAAUUGAGAAGGMGAUGGUUAAUUAAAAUUUAUGMAAUAUAAAAUUUAGAUGGUAGGAUAGUGGMAUAAAAUGGUGGAAAAGGGUAAAGGGGAAUUAGGGUUAGAUUAAGGAGAGGGAGAAUKAGAAAAGGMUAAAAAAUAAAAGGAAGGAAGAAGGAGAGCAAAUUAAMMAAUAAMGMUAAGGGGAGGUAGUAAAAAUAAAUAAUGAUAAGGGGAUAUWWUGGGUAUAGUAAUUGGAAUGAGAAMAAUUUAAAUAAAUUAAAGAGGAAAAAUUGGAGGGAAAGAAUGGUGAAAGAAGMAGMGGUAAUUAAAGMUMAAAUAGMGUAUAUUAAAGUUGUUGCAGUUAAAAAGCUCGUAGUUGAA